AUGAAUCAGAAUCAAAGUUAUGCCUUUAACUGGUCCAUCGAAAAUCAAGAGAACACACUUAGACAGUUCACUAAAACCAGAUAUCCAAGCCAAGCUAAUACGAAAAGGCAAUUCAUAAAACUAACUACAAUCACCACAAAAUCAUACCUACACGCUAAUGUCUAUUCACAACAGAAGAAAAUAUCCAAAGCAAAUUAG